ACAAGUUGUCCCAGCCACCCCCUGCUGCCUUAGAUCACCGCAGCAGUGCACUAUUGCACUGCUGAGCUUGUACAUGAAUGACAGUUGGAGGUCCGGAGGCGGAGCUACACGGCACUGUACUCAGUGCCAGGCCAGCCAGCAGCACCAUCAAAGAGAUGAGGGGAGAAGAGCAGCAGCACACAGCAAAGCCUAAAUAGUGAUGGGGGUUAUGGCUGCUACUCUUGGCUUCUGACUCCAUUGUCCGCCCCUGAUUCCCCUGCUGAACACAAUUACAAUAAUGCACAUAAGUCUACGCGGAAUGUGAUAGAACGAUGUUUUGGUGUACUGAAAUCAAGGUUUCGGUGUCUGGAUAAGUCUGCCGGGCUUUUGUUGUAUAGUCCCUUAAAAGUGACUAUACAACAAAAGCUGCUGUUUUCUUCAUAACAUGUGUUUGCAGCAACAUCUGCCACAUGAUGAUGAUGAUGAUGAUGAUGAUGAUGAAGAAAACAGUCAGCAAGCAGAGGAGUUAGAAACAUCUGGCGACACUGAGUACAGAUAUAGGGAGACAGACAGCUGAGGGGAAUGUGGUCACGGUGAUUGAGUACUCUCCAAAAUGUGUUCUGGUGGCUGAGGCAACACAGUUGAAAUACGACGUGGGGGUGUGCUUAAUGCUGGUGUUGGUGCGACAUCAGGAUGACGUCUCUUGCUAGGCCUGCUCGUGUGGCUGCCAGACCCCUGUGCAGGACGUCUUUGUGGACUGUGAUGCGAUGUUGAAGUUCCUAUGGAUUAAUGCAAACAUUAGAUUUUUUUGCUUUUUUGUGGUGGCCAUAUUAACAGGUGUCAUUUUUGCGUUACCUGUAUCGCCAGCAUCCACAGCUCUUGACAGUGUUGCUUGUGUUCUGGAAGCGGUGGCUUGCUUUCGUACUGUAAAAAUGAUACAGUGGUGUUUAUGACCUUUAAUUACAGUGUGUACUUUUGUAAGCAGCAACAUUUAGUGAUGUGGACAUAUGAUUACCAUUAUGGG